rnacentral:rRNA from 1 species
AUUGGAGUCUGCAACUCGACUCCAUGAAGUCGGAAUCGCUAGUAAUCGUGGAUCAGAAUGCCACGGUGAAUACGUUCCCGGGCCUUGUACACACCGCCCGUCACACCAUGGGAGUGGGUUGCAAAAGAAGUAGGUAGCUUAACCUUCGGGAGGGCGCUUACCACUUUGUGAUUCAUGACUGGGGUGAAGUCGUAACAAGGUAACCGUAGGGGAACCUGCGGUUGGAUCAC